CUAGCUGCGUGAAUUAAUGUGAAUUGCAGAACACAUUGAACAUCGACACCUUGAACGCACAUGGCGGCCUCGGGUUUACCCCGGGGCCACGCCCGUCUGAGGGUCGGUUUGCUAAAGCGAUCGCUACCUUGUCCGUUAAUUUUCUUUUUUGAAUCGGUCGCUUGCUUAUUUCUCGGGCUCUCGCGAGAGGUUUGUAGGUGACUGGUGCGAAGAAGAAGAUUAGGUGGCGCUUUGGGCCUUCGUGGAUAGCGUAUACGGUACGCGUGCCCCCUUUGCUCUCGGGGUGCGUUAUCGUGGCGCAUGUUCUCGUGGCUUUAAGUACAGGAUGCGCCGUCGUCCUAUCUGUCCUACGAGAUGCUGCUCGCCUCGUCGGUGGUCUCUCGCUGCGCGACAGGUACCCGGCUCGUGCUUUCAAAGCGAGCUGUACGGACCUGGGCCGCGCGUGAAAUGUUCGGGAGAUGGGCCGCAUAGCAGCGAUUCGUACGGGCUAACGGCGCCCGCCCAUACACUUUCAUUAGUGUGGCGUGUUUUAUUUUUUUAUCCGACCUCAGAUCGGACGAGAUUACCCGCUGAAUUUAAGCAUAUUACUAAGCGGAGGAAAAGAAACUAACAAGGAUUUCCCUAGUAACGG
rnacentral:rRNA from 2 species